rnacentral:rRNA from 1 species
AUUGAACGCUGGCGGCAUGCCUUACACAUGCAAGUCGAACGGCAGCACGGGUGCUUGCACCUGGUGGCGAGUGGCGAGCGGGUGAGUAAUAUAUCGGAACGUACCUUAUUGUGGGGGAUAACGCAGCGAAAGCUGUGCUAAUACCGCAUAAUCCCUAAGGGGGAAAGCGGGGGAACGUAAGGCCUCGCGCAAUUAGAGCGGCCGAUACCUGAUUAGCUAGUUGGUGAGGUAAAGGCUCACCAAGGCAACGAUCAGUAGCUGGUCUGAGAGGACGAUCAGCCACACUGGGACUGAGACACGGCCCAGACUCCUACGGGAGGCAGCAGUGGGGAAUUUUGGACAAUGGGGGCAACCCUGAUCCAGCAAUGCCGCGUGAGUGAAGAAGGCCUUCGGGUUGUAAAGCUCUUUUGUCAGGGAAGAAACAGCAGCUCUAACACAGUAUGCGAAUGACGGUACCUGAAGAAUAAGCACCGGCUAACUACGUGCCAGCCGCCGCCGUAA